rnacentral:tRNA from 1 species
GGGUUGUUAGCUCAGUUGGUAGAGCAGCGGACUUUUAAUCCGUUGGUCGAAGGUUCGAGUCCUUCACAACCCACCA